rnacentral:rRNA from 1 species
UGAGGAAUAUUGGACAAUGGGCGCAAGCCUGAUCCAGCCAUGCCGCGUGCAGGAAGAAGCAUCUAUGGUGUGUAAACUGCUUUUGUACGGGAAGAAACACUCCUACGUGUAGGAGCUUGACGGUACCGUAAGAAUAAGGAUCGGCUAACUCCGUGCCAGCAGCCGCGGUAAUACGGAGGAUCCAAGCGUUAUCCGGAAUCAUUGGGUUUAAAGGGUCCGUAGGCGGUUUAAUAGGUCAGUGGUGAAAGCCCAUCGCUCAACGAUGGAACGGCCAUUGAUACUGCUAGACUUGAAUUACAAGGAAGUAACUAGAAUAUGUAGUGUAGCGGUGAAAUGCUUAGAUAUUACAUGGAAUACCAAUUGCGAAGGCAGGUUACUACUUGUGGAUUGACGCUGAUGGACGAAAGCGUGGGGAGCGAACA